ensembl:snoRNA Gm22981 predicted gene, 22981
AGGACCAAUGAUGAGAUCUGGUGGCGUUUGAGUGAUACUCCAUGAACGCCAAGUAUCCAGAAAUCUGAGGUCAAUCCCGAUGCCUUG